GCUGAAGCGCAGUGGCUAUUCACAGGUGCUAUCCCACUACUGAUCAGCAUGAGAGUGUUGACCUAUGUUUCCUAGGUCGGUUCCCAUUCCCAGGAGGUCAUCAUAUUGAUGCCAAACUUAGUGUGGACACCCAAGUGGCACAGUGCACUCCAGUCCAGAAGCCCUGGGCUCAAGCAAUCCUCUUGCCUCAGCCUCCCGGGUAGCUGGGACUAGAGCAGCGUGCCACUGUGCCCAGCCACGUGGAAUUUUGAAGCGCACAAUCGGAGCACCAUAUUGGACAACCUUGGAGUAUUAAACAGGACUCUCGAAGAUUGGGGUGGGCGCUGCAUGUGAUUGUGUGUGAGGCUGAACAGAUGGCAGGGGAAACUCGCUGGAGCCCAGCCUCCUUGGGGUCCACACUGGUACCCAACUGACAGUUGGAAGGCGCGGCCAGUUCAGCACCGCGGACAGCUCCAGGACAGGCGCCUAUCCCUGGCCUCUGAGCCCCGCCCCCGGCGCGCCAGCCCUUCCCGCAGGACCCGCCCAGAUUUAAAGCUCCGUCAUCCCGUUUAAAGAGGCCAAGGCGGCCUGGGCGGCGAUGACACCGCGUCCAGCUGUGGUUACAGACUAAUUCUCCCACAGAGACUCAGACUGGCCUGGUAGGGAAGAGGACUUUAUUGGGAUGUUAGUAGGGAAACAUGAGAGGGUGAAUUCCAGGGAAUAGACACUAGGACCAAGGUGGCGGUCACCUUAAAGAGCCAUAAAUAAACUUAAAAAAUAAAUUAA